AAUGAACGUUGGCGGCGUGGAUUAGGCAUGCAAGUCGCGCGGAAAGGCCCCUUCGGGGGUGCUCGAGCGGCGAAAGGGAGAGUAACCCGUGGAUUACCUACCCUCAGGCCCGGGAUAGCUGCGGGAAACCGCAAUUAAUACCGGAUAAUGUCCCUGGACCAAAGGUGUGAUUCCUCCUGAGGAUGGGUCCGCGUCCUAUUAGCUAGUUGGUAGGGUAACGGCCUACCAAGGCGAUGAUGGGUACUGGGUGUGAGAGCAUGACCCAGCUCACUGGGACUGAGACACUGCCCAGACACCUACGGUGGCUGCAGUCGAGGAUCUUCGGCAAUGAGCGCAAGCUUGACCGAGCGACGCCGCGUGCGGGAUGAAGGCC
rnacentral:rRNA from 1 species